GAAUAUCAAGUGAAGUGAAUCUAAAAUAAAGGUUUAUUCGCCCUAGUUUAAAUUAGAAGUGUAGUUUAAGUGAAAACUUAGAAUUGGAGGUUACUUUACUAGUAGGCCGGACCAUCUGAUGCUACAUUUUACCAUUUCUAGAACCUUAUGAAAUAACUAUUAUUUCAGUCACUUAAUUGGACGCGGUUUAGAACUUUCCGUCAGUAUUGCUAGUUUGUACAGAAAGUUAGACCUUUUUGUCUAUAAAUUACUUUCAGUCCUUUAUAAAAUUUUCAUUAUUCGAGUUUAUGAAAAGCUGUGGACUCACAUUUUCUGCAGAUUUUGAUGUUAGUAUGCCUUUUUUCUUUGAUUUGCAUUUAUUUAUUUAUCUUGGGUGAGACUUUGAAGGAUCCAGACUGCUGUAUAGACAAAUUUCCAUUGAAAAGGAUUCUUGUAACAACUUAUUUAAUAGCCAGCUUAUUGCAGCUUGUUCUAUUUCUAGUGAAGUGAAAUUGAACUUGGUAGUAGAAGGUUAUGUUUGCUCUCUUUUACCAUAAUUUGCUAUGAUAAAAGCUAAAUGUAUGUGGCCUGGCCUAGAACAUUUUCCAUUCAUCUGUCUCACUUGCUUGGUUGUCACUACUAUUUAGUUCAGCAGUCGUAGCUUUUCUCACAGAACCUGCUGGUCUGUUUACCCCCCCACUCAGUUCAAAGCAAGCAUUUAGGUUCCUUUGUUGAAGCUGUUUCAUCCGCUAGGGGCACUAGUGGUGUCGAAGUGAUUUAAGAACUGGAGUUAUGAUACUGCUUUAACACAAGUUGCAGAACUGCAUGCUAAGGUGUCAGCUCCAAUUCUUCUAUAACAACAUGCUUAUUCCAAAUAAGUGGCAUGCUGAUGGGGCAGUAGAAAUAUUCAAGGUUAGACUUGUAGCACAAGGCGUCAUUCAAACAGAAGGCUUGGAUUACUUUGAAACCUUUUCACCAGUAGCCAAACUGUCCACUGCGAGGCUUUUUCUUGCCUUAGCUUCCACUGAUUGUUGGCAUCUUCAUCAAUUCAGUUCCUCUGUGAGGCUUUUGCUUGCCUUAGCUUCCAUGCAUUUUUCUGAUGUUUUUACCAAGGCAUCAUACAUUGCUUCGUUUUUUAGAUGCUUUACAAGCUUGGUAUGGUGGGCAUGUUCUGAAGGUGAGAAAAACA